UAAAAAUAAUUGGCAACGACUAAAUUAUAUAUAAAGAAAAAGAAUGCUUUACUUUACGAUGAUGUCUGAGCUGCCUAUAGAAAAUAGUUCUGGUGCGUUCUGGCUCCACUACACCAGUGGGGCUGUGCCAUUCUGUCUGUUGUACUGCGUGUUCAAUAAGUAUAUUGAAAAUAAUUUGAUUGGAGUGAGUUUAGCAAAAUGGAACACAUGCAAACAAGUUCUGCGGCACAACCAAAAUCCUUCCUCCUUAUAAUACCUCUGCUGGUUAGGUCUUGCUCAUUUGAAUUUAGCUGGAGUUUCAGAGACUGGUGUAAUAUUGAGGAGCAUUUUGCGUCUCUCAAACGACAUCACGUGCCGUGCAUUUGUCAUCUUCAAUAGCAGUUUCUGCUCUGCCUUGCUUGUUAAUUCUGAGAAUAAUGUGGUUUAGGUUUAAAGCAAUCAGCUGGAUUACCGCUGAUCUAUUCAACAACGCACACAACCAUUUUUUUUCUCUCAGCUUUGUCAUGCAGAUGCGCUCUCUCUUGGCACAGUUCCCUCUCUUUAUCAUGCCUGUGGAAUAAAUGAAAUACUGGUUAUUGUGCUUGUUUUCCAUCAAUAAAUUAUCUUCCAAAAUGAGUGGAGAAUCUGUUUCGGAAUUUGUUAUUAUUAAUUUGUUAAAUAAUUGACUAUCUGUCAUUCUGCUUGACCUUAAAGCAGAAGCUGUUACUUACUACUCAAGAGAAUAUUUGGAGAUCGUUACUCUUUUAUACAGUUUUACAGCUGAAAAAAAAUAACUUGAUUACAUCCUGCUGUUAGUGGUUGGCCUCCAAGCUGUUCGCUUUAGCCAGAGUAACUUUGAAUACUCUCUGUACAGAUAGUGACAAUAUUUGGCUAGAGUUGUGUUUUGUUGCACAAUACAUAGCGGUUAAGCAUCCAAGUAGACCAGUACUGUAGUUAAGCACUGUGCUUUUGAGGAAGGCUGUGAAUUUGAGCGCCAUAAGACAUGCUAGUAGCACUUUAUUUCAAUGGGACACUAUGUAGCAUUCAUGACACAUUCUUAAAGGAUACAUGUGUGAAGUGCAUCCUUCAUAAUCACCUUGAACACACACAGUAACAUGCAAAUAAGUCUUCAUAACCUUCAUAACCUUGUUACAUUUGUUACCAAACAAACUGCAAAUUCAAGUGCAUGUACUCACACCCAAGUGCAUGUGAGUCACACCCAUUGACAUUUUGACUGUAACUAUUGAGAUCUGUUAAAUAAUAUAAAUGUGUCGAAUUAUAGUAGAAACAUUUUAUGAACACUUAUUUGCAUGUGAAGGGUUAUGUAACCUUAUGUAACCUUAUGUAAUAAUGAAUGUACAUAUUUAUGGGGAUGGAGCCACAUUUGCUGCUUUAGUAGAUAGUGUUGGAUAGCAUUGAAUGCUUUUAUUUUAUUUUACCUUGCACACAGUGCCUGUCGGUGGCCGAAUGCUGUAAUUGUAGCAAGGAUCUUAAAGGCAAAGUAAAAUCCAAUUUUUGUUGAGUAUUAUUACCGUCUCAUUGGCUUAUUCACUUAACACAUUUAUGUAAAAAUAUAGUCAUGUUUGGUAUUAUUUCUCUUUUGCUGUCUUGUUUGAAAUUUGAUUAACAGUGCGGUAUCACAAUAAUCAAUAAAUAACCUGGUUAAAAAACCAACAAACCAAAUAUAAGCAAACCCAAAACUCACAUCUAAUAUCCAGCACGUGGUAGGAAAGGAAAUGAUUUUACAAAAAUCAGAAAUUAUUUUUUAACGGGUUGGUGUUCAGUCUGGAUUGCUCAGUCUUCUGUAAAAUGUCUGUUUUACCCUUGAAUUGAUUAAAUAUUGCUGGCUUUUUCUGUUUAUUUCUAAUUGAAUAUGACUAUUUUCAAUGGAUGUCACUAGUUAGGCUACUGCUGGAUCCAUAAUUCGUACCUCACAGAACCAGCUAUAAAUGGGGUUCAUUCCCCCCCUCCCCCCCCUUCUAUUUUAACCUGCGCUCCCCUGACUGUAUGACUCACCUGGCACACCUUCGGACUGUAUGACUCACCUGGCACACCUUCAGAGUAGCUUCUUGCUCCUUUCAUUCCCUUAACAUUCAUUGAUUCCUGUCCUGCUCCAUAACAGCCCCUGAUGGUAAGGUGCUGCAGUGCCUGCGUGGGCUGCUUCCUGCUUGUGAGUUACAGUGGCUGAGCGCUGUGAUCAUCUUCCAGUCUCUCCUUCCUUCCCAUGAGGGAGCAGUCAGCAGGGAGCUGAAAUAAAGAAGAAGCCCCCUUGCUGUGUACAGUCAAGAUCUGGAGACUUGAAGCAGCCUCAGACAGCUGAUUGAGAAUCACUGGUUGAUAGACGUACAGAACUUUAUUGUAUGGCCCAUGUGCUGUAGACUCCCACUAAUCCAGACCGACGACCCCGCGCACCGCCAGCGAGCGUCUUAACCAUAAUGCAAAAGAACCGGGCUUGUCUGUGUUCGUGAUUAUAGAGAUUAACCUCUUCUCUUCUAACUCAUGGGACAGGACAGAAUCCGUAUUGGCAGCGUAUUACACAACACUGCCUGUUACACAUGCUAACUGCAGCCGUAGGUUUAAUCCUGGGUUUGAUGAAAUAUUGAGAAAGUAUCGUACACAAGACAAAGAUGAGACAAGGCAUUUUUAGUAUGGGACAGGUUAGAAUCAUCAUUCAAAACAAGCCACAGUUUUGAGGGUGGUGCCUACUGGUUCAGAUUAAUGAGAACCCGUCUGUACAAUGCAGUUUUAACAUGUUAGAAAGCAAAAAAAUAACACAAAGCAAUAACAAUAUAAUAAAUGAACUCCAAAGUCAACAGAUGACUAAAUCAAAAUAAAGUUGUGUUUUUUGCCUCCCUGUGACUGCAGUACAAUAUAAUUCAGUUAUGCAAAUUCUUCCUAGCGCCACAGGUCAUUUGUAUCCACCACGAUACACAGUAUGCAAAGAGAUGAAUAAUCUUUAAAUGUAUUUAUAUUUUGAACAAAGGACUGUUUUUAAUCUUGGUUAUCUACGGACAAAAGAUACUGAUCUUGUGAACAGCAGACGCUGGGAGCUGUAUAAAUUCAAUAUGAAUGAUUUAGUCAUUUUCACAUGAGCUGAAGCAAGCGUGUUCAACAGUGCAGUGCAGUACAGCAGCUACCUGCAGUGAUCUCCCUGAGGUGACUAUUAUCACAUGAUUUCAAAAUAUAAACCUGUCUUGGCAGAAUCAACAGAGACCUGCAAACAAUGAAGGCUUGCUUACAGAAUGCGAAUUGCUUCACUUGCAAAGAAAUAAAUUACUCACAAAAAUACAUUGUGCAACAUAUAAAAACCGAACAACUCUUUCCUUUCAUCCUUCUGGUUUUUAAUGACCUAAUCCUAUUAAUCAGUACUGUUGUCUAAAAUUAGCCAAAAAUGGUUGCAGGUUACCUAUGCAUUUUACCAUGCUUUUUGCAUGCUUCUUCUGUGCAUUUACCGUAGUUAAACACAUUUUACCAUGCUUUCAUCAUGCUGGACUAUAUCUUGUUGUUUCUAAACACGUUCAUUUUCCAUUCUGCAUUUAUAAACUUCUGCCAAGUCAUAGCAAAGACCCUGUAAUUCCCAGUGUAUGCUGGUGUCCUUUUGGUAAUAAAUCAGACUGGAGCUUUUGCAACCAAAAAGGUGCUCCAAAUUGUACUUACAGAUUCCGCAGGUGCAUGUGGUCAGUAAUCUUUUCCACUCUUAAAGAAUUCAGAUCUUUCCAGUGAAAAAUGAACUGUAUGUUUUCAGCCUGGAAUCAGCAACACUAAUGGCAUAAUUUAGUGUGUUAGGCAGCUAAUCAACUAGCCUGUAUCUUUCCAAUAUUAUGUUGCUAUGGGCAAGCUGCUGCGAUCCAUAAAAAAUUAAAUGUUAUGGUAAUUUGUUUAUUUUUUUAAAAUGUAUAUAUAGAUAUAUAUAUAUUGAAGUAAGGCUUAAGGGUUUAUGCCACAACACUAGUAAAUGUGUUGGCAUUCUGUGGGCAAACCCUUUGUUUACAAUAUCUACGUGCUGUACUUGUUUACAGAUCUCCAGCACUGAGGGUCGCUGAAUCACUCGACAGUAAAAGUGCUUUCCUCAGAUCACACAGGGAUCAUUCGGACGCAUGUGAAACUUGAGCUGUGGCACAGUGUACAGCCAGAGGGCACAAAUACUAGACUGGAACAAUGUACGUACCCUGCCUCAAAGAAGUACAUACGUUUAGAAGGAAGCACUGCAAACUAUUAGAUAUACGGGAUCUGCUAUGGCUGAUAAAGUCAUUCCACACUGUUAUACAAUUGCAAGUAAAAAAGUCAGUUUUACUUCAAAGUGCCAUGUUACUUAAUGAUCUGGGUGCUGGAUAUUAUUGGAUAUUAUUACAGCACUGCAGAAUGCCCCGGAUUGCAUCAGCCUCCUAACCGUGGGUAUUGCAGGAUCUAAAUAUCUAGAUAAUACUUUGUGUUUAUAUACUUAUACUUAUACUUGUAUAUGCCUUUGCAGAGUAUCAUAUACCUCUUAUACAAUAAGCUCUGACAUUUAACGCUACAGCGAUCAACUAGCACGACUGUAUGGCAAGAUUGCAUGUUAUAUGAAAUAUUUCAGCCUUGCAAGUGGGUGUUGAAAUCAGUAUUAAAAGUGUUUAAAAGUAUGCCAAGACGUGGGCAUAUACAAUGCCUAUCUCUGCAAAACCUUAACAAGCCUGAAGCUUGAAGCAGAGUUCAGUAUUAUAUGGGCUUUUUUUUGUAUUUGUGUGUGUGUGUGCGUGCGUGCAUGUACUGUAUAAGGCAAAUAAACUGUUCCAAACUGGCAUCUCCGUGAAGUGUUUCCAAUCCAUGCCUGCGAAUACUGUAGGAACCCAGUGCAUGGGCAUGUUGGAUUGCAGCACACAAGAAAGGUGUUUAGUUUGAAUGUAUACCUGUUUCAGUUUACUUCACCACUGAAUGUUUCAGCCAAUCACUAAACUAAUGACAGAAAGAAUGAAUGUGGUGGCUGCACAAUGCAUUUACCAAACUUUAGUUUGCUAUGGUUUUUAAUAUGAUCUACUGUACCUCUCUGUGGUUUAUCAAGCUUGCCUAUGUAUACAAUGCUUUCACAACACUUCAGUGCACUUUGCAAUAAUUUUACCAUAGGAAAACUCCUAUAAGAGGCAGGCAGUUACCGGCACACAAAUACAAACUUAGAUCUGGUGAACUGAGCUGUCUUUUAGCCUCCAUUGUGUCCCCUGACAGCCUGUUGUUAUUAUGCAACUGUGCGCUGCUUUUCCUGCUGUGAAGUGGGGGUGGGGAGGCUCUUUUACCCUGAGGGGGGUUCUAGGCAAGGGUUCCAUUCAUGUAAAUACAGCAAACGUGAAACAGCACAGGCUAGAGGCAGAUGCUUCCCCAGUGUUUCAUUUUAUAAGAAAAUGUAUCUAAAAAUAAACAGCAGCCCGAAGGAGCCACUGGCUUGCGAUUGUGCUUCGGGGUUUGGCUCUCUGUGUCUCGUGAAUCGGAUGCUUUUAAUUCAGUGUGACUUCAUGUCAUUGUAGUAAUUUGAUUUAAAGUGCACCGUGCCAAUGGAUUCGGAGUGGUAAACCCUUUGUCAGUUGAGAUCAAAAUUAUACAGUACUGUCUGGGCCAGUGUUUUAUCACAAAUGCCACAUCUGAUUUACAGUUGCUAACGCUACAAAAUAAAAGCAGUUUAUAUAAAUGUGUUAUCAGCUGUGUGGCUGAAAGAAAUGUGAUAAACUCUUACUCUGCAGAAAAACAAAAAUAAAUCUGAUACAAAAGCAUGCAUCUGUGUGACGGGGCGUAAGGAGUGAGCUAUAAAUAGUAAUCUGAUGUCAUUUGCAGCCUGACCUAUAAAGGGUAGACCUUUAUGUUUAGAGGUUUUCUUGAAGAUUGGAUAGCUUGUCAUGCUAAUUUGUUCAGCCUCAGGUUGUGCACCAAAGCAAAUUGGAUUCACACACAAACCGAUAUCUACAGGGCCUGCUUAGCGAGCGCUGGGAAAGAAGAAUGAUGUAUUUAUUCAAAUGCGCUACAGCACUUACAACUCAGAUCUGCCAAACAAACUCACUUCUACUGAGCUGGUAUCUGUCUUUCCUCAAUUCCUCGAUCAGCGUUGCUGGGUUAGAAGAGGGCAAGCAGGUCAUCAAACAGUGUUAAUCUGAGCAGCCUAGUUGAUCAACUGCUUUGUGGACUAGGUGGACUGUACCUGCUAGUACCAAGGGUAUUGUUGCUUUGCUAACACUCCGUCUAAUGAAGGAUGAGUCCCCAGUGAUGGUGCUUGUGUAAGGAGGGGAAAGGGGAGGGGGAGUGUUCUGAUAUGAAGGAUGAGUCCCCAGGUAUGGGAGUUGAUGGUGCUUGUGUAGGGAGGUGAAAGGGGAGGGGGAGUGUUCUGAUAUGAAGGAUGAGUCCCCAGGUAUGGGAGUUGAUGGUGCUUGCGUAAGGAGGGGAAAGGGGAGGGGGAGUGUUCUGAUAUGAAGGAUGAGUCCCCAGGUAUGGGAGUUGAUGGUGCUUGUGUAGGGAGGUGGAAGGGGAGGGGAGAGUCAGCAUUGUUUUUCUAUGGCACAGAUUGCUAUGUUUAGGUCAGCCCCUAGGAUGAUGGUAAAUAUUGAUGGAGAUAUGGGUAGUGGAGAAAAUUGUGAUUUCAAUACUGUCAUCAAGAAUCCCUGUAGUUUUGGUGACAUGAACAGAAUCAACUUUGAUCUCUCUGGGUUUAUAGUGUCACCAGAACACCUUGAUACAAUUACAGCCUUGUUAUGCACAGUUGGGUGUACUUUAUUCUUUAUACUUAUCAGUAAUAGUGUUUGCAGAUAGUCUCUGAAGCCCAGAGCAUAACCUAAAAGCUCCUCCAGACAAUAGGGAUGCUUCUUCUUCCUGGGAAUGAAAUGCCAUGUAAUAGAUGAGGAUAUUCUUAUAGCUAUUUACAUAUCCUGAUUACACAAGACACGACCCAUUUAAUUAGUGCAGUAAGAGCUGCCUGUAUUGCAAUACAUCCAUUCUAUUCCAUGCAACAGGACAAGGUAUGUCAGUAGAAUUACUUCACAUCGAUUACAGGUAAAUUCCAGUUACUAUGCUGAAUUUCAUAAAGCUGGAUGUGUUACACUGUACCCACAGUGUAUUUAGUAAACAUAUGUAUCCUGUUUGUCUCAUAAAGGAGUAUUGUUUUGUAUGAGGACGGAUUCGGUACUGCUGUUGUUUUUCUUCCAGCUGCUGGUGUGUGGUGUGUUGAAGAGAUGCUUAAUCAGCAGUUCAGUAGGGUGGUACCAUGUGCUGAUCUGUGAUGGUAGACCUGUGGGAAGUUAAUUGGCCCCAAUGCACCGUGCAGUAUCAUCCUAUUCAAAUAGAACAAAUAGCAUGAUUUCAGCACCGCCCACAAAACAAACAGCUUCUAAUAAUAAUAAUAAUAAUAAUAAUAAUAAUAAUAAUAAUAAUACUAAUAAUAAUAAUAAUAAUAAUAAUAAUAAUAAUAAUAAUAAUAAUCAGGGGUUAAUUUGUGCCAAAUCGCACAAGUUCCCAGAUCUGCUACCUUUUUAAGAAUAACAGUUUUCAACUUAUUUUUGUUGCAAAAAAUAAAUCUGUGUACAUAACAUUUACAAUAAAAACCAGACUUUUCUGUUCCAUGAAUUGAAUAACAGAAGUGCUCUGUAAAGAUAUGUUUUAGGAUGUGACACCUAGGAGUAAGAAAAUUGCUAGUUUCUUUCACAACCCAAACAGGGAAACAGUAAAGUUUACAGGUGUCGUAAAUACUACGGCUGUGAACUCCUGUAGUUUAUAUAGAAGAGGAGGAAUUUCCUGGAAAGCAGCUGUCGGCGUGUUGUCUUAUUAAUAUAAUUGUUUUCUGGCUCUUGUUAUUUGUUCAGUAUAAUAAAUGUUGCAUACCUUGCAUGCCCCUUGUAAUUUAAGAAAUGUAUGUAUGUAUGUAUGUCUGUAUGUAUGUAUGUAUGUAUGUAUGUAUGUAUGUAUGUAUGUAUGUAGGCAUAAGCUGUGUACCUGAUGUUUUUAAGCAUUAAAAAAUUUGAAAUACGGUUAGCAAUCUUGCUGCACAGCUUGUCUGCCUCCCCUAAAACUUCCAUUAACAACUACAUCUCCCAGAAUACAAUGUCUUCAGUUACUAGGAAACUGUAUACAAGAAAAAACAACCUAACAAACAUUGUCCAAUCUCUGGCUAGCCCUGUUGUCUUUGCAGCCAAUCACAGUAUGAAUAAGAAAAAUUCGAAGCUACACAGGUUGAAGCGUAAACACCCCAGUCCAGCUACAAAUCCAACUGGAACCAUCGUCAGAGGCAAAAAAAGGAACACUGCUGGACUUCAGUCCAGGAUUUGCAUUGGAAACCAACCUCCGUCAACAUGGCAGGAAUGGACUUCUGGCUUUCAGGCAUUGAGGACACAGCAAUGCACAUGCCUUAAAGAAAAAAAACAACUAUGUAUAUCAGCUGAGUGUAAUAAACCCAGGGGCUAAUCCUGGGUAUUUAAAUUCUGAAACCAAGGGAUUGAUUUGAUCAAUGUAUAGCAUGCUGGGAUACACCCCUCCUGGAUUUCUAAACAACCUACUUUCAGUGUUUUAAAAAAAACAUAAAUAGUUUGGUGAUGCAAUCCAGGGUGAUUUUUCAGUAAACUGAUCCAGUAAAAAAAUCCAGCUGUGGCUUAACCCGACAUGGUGGAGAUUAAUCAAAUCAACCCCUAUGCUGAUCAAGUAUGGUACAAAUCUCAGUAUCACUUUACAUGAAGUGCCUCUAAUUACUGUGUAUUUACAUAGCAGUUACUUAGGAAAUACAUGUGGACUUAAACAUAAUUACAAUGUUAUUGUGCAUACUUACAAUGUACUUAUUGUGUAAAUCUUUUUGCAUGAUAUAACCCUAACCCUUUUCUGAUACAAUUGUGUACCUGUAUAUAACGUGCAAAAAGAUUUACACAUUAAUUACAUUGUAACUGUGCAGAAUAACAUUGUAAUCAUGUGUAAGUACACGUGUAUUUACUAAGUAACUAUAGUGUAAAUACACAGUAAUUAGAGACACUCAAUGUAAAGUGUUACCCACAUAUCAAUAUUUUCAUAUUACAGAUGAAAAAUGGUUUAACUGGCAUUUUUGUAACACCAAGCAUACAAUUAAAGGAUAACUAAAUGGCAUUAAAUCAUUCUUUUUUAACCAAAUGCUGAACUUUUAAAGCAACUUGUUUUCACUCGUUGUGGAGACCUGUGUCAUUGUGCGUUUCUGCCCACAUUCCUUGCUGUUCAAGAAGUUACACAGUUACAGUACUUAAAUCUCAUCUUCGCCAGGUUUAGCAAAAUUUGUGUUCCUGUCUCUCAUCAUUUAAAAUGUUAUUGUAUAUAUAAAUGUUAUAGCUAUAUUUUCUAUACUGUUUUUUUUGGUUAGUAAGGUGUUAAAUGUUUAGUGCAUAUUUGCCUUGGAAGUCAAAUUAAUAUCAAGGUAUUGUAAAAUGUAUUGAAACAAUGAAAAAGAGGAUAUUUAAGUUAAUGUUGUAAAGUAUAAGUAAGUGUAAAAAUGACAAAUCACUGACAAUAGCAAAAACCAUCAGUUGCAAUGGCUUUGUUUACCUUAACUUAUUGUAAUCAAUACGUAGAAUACAGUUAUUAUGAGAGGUUGGUAUAAAUGCAGCUGAUGUUUCCAAAAGGAAAACAAGAAGACUUAGGCUAGACAUCCCAAACUAUACAGUGUUGUACCCCAAGACUCGUUGUAAUAUUGCUGUCAAACUCCUGUCGAUUUUUUUUUAUAGAACACUAAAAUGCUUUGUCUGGAUUUGUGGUUAUCAGUGAAUUGCAUGAUGCAUUAUUUUUACACUUGCCUCUUUAUCAAAGAUAUGUAAAUAUGUUAUUUAUUUGGGUGCUACCAUGGUUGGUAUUUUUUGGGACCCCUUCAUGUUUUUUUUUGUAAAUAAAUAUACGUCUCAUGGAAUUUCUACAUCUCAUAUCCUCAAAGGCAGCAAUAUAAGAAAGGUCGGCUUAUGGAAUUAUGUGCAAUGAAAAAAAUAAAAAUAAAAAUAUAUAUAUAUAAAACGUC